rnacentral:lncRNA from 1 species
UUUAAUUAUGCUCUAUAGUCUGGUCCCUGUCCCUGGUAAGGUCUGAUUGUUAUCCGUAAGUCUUGUUUUGACCGCGGGAAGGUGAACUUUGCAAAAGUGCUUAUUUGGUUGGGAAGAAUAGGACUUCUGACUCCAAGCCUACCCUACCCGAAAAAAAGUUUCAGCUAUUGAUGUAGCCUCUUGUCGAUACUACUAGUCUUCUCGCUACCUACUAGAAAAAUCCCAUCAAGAUAGAUUGAA